rnacentral:rRNA from 1 species
AGAGCGAACGCUGGCGGCAUGCUUAACACAUGCAAGUCGCACGAUCGGGGGUAACUCCGGUAGUGGCGGACGGGUGAGUAACGCGUAGGUAUCUAUCCUUGGGUGGGGGACAACCACGGGAAACUGUGGCUAAUACCGCAUGACGACUGAGGUCCAAAGGCCGAAAGGUCGCCUGAGGAGGAGCCUGCGUCCGAUUAGCUUGUUGGUGGGGUAAUGGCCUACCAAGGCUGCGAUCGGUAGCUGGUCUGAGAGGAUGAUCAGCCACAUUGGGACUGAGACACGGCCCAAACUCCUACGGGAGGCAGCAGUGGGGAAUAUUGGACAAUGGGCGAAAGCCUGAUCCAGCAAUGCCGCGUGUGUGAAGAAGGUCUUCGGAUUGUAAAGCACUUUCGACGGGACGAUGAUGACGGUACCGUAGAAGAGCCCGCUAACUUCGCGCCAGCAGCCGC